UAUGGUCAUAUCGCAUUGAAACACCAGUUCUCAUACAAUCACAUAAGUUAAGCAACAUUGAGCCUGGUCAGUACCUAGAUGGGUGACUGCUUGGGAAUACCAGCUGCUAU